rnacentral:rRNA from 1 species
UGGGGGAUAUUGCACAAUGGGCGAAAGCCUGAUGCAGCGACGCCGCGUGGGGGAUGAAGGCCUUCGGGUUGUAAACUUCUUUUGCUCUGAACAAGGCGCACCAUGGGGUGUGUUGAGUGUAGGGGUUGAUUAGCGCCGGCUAACUACGUGCCAGCAGCCGCGGUAAUACGUAGGGCGCGAGCGUUGUCCGGAAUUAUUGGGCGUAAAGGGCUUGUAGGUGGCUGGUUGCGUCUGUCGUGAAAGCUCAUGGCUUAACUGUGGGUUUGCGGUGGGUACGGGCUGGCUUGAGUGCAGUAGGGGAGGCUGGAAUUCCUGGUGUAGCGGUGGAAUGCGCAGAUAUCAGGAGGAAUACCGGUGGCGAAGGCGGGUCUCUGGGCUGUUACUGACACUGAGGAGAGAAAGCAUGGGGAGCGAACAGG